rnacentral:rRNA from 1 species
UACGAAGGGGGCUAGCGUUGUUCGGAAUUACUGGGUGUAAAGCGCGCGCAGGCGGUCUUCCAAGUCAGUGGUGAAAGCCCGGAGCUCAACUCCGGAACUGCCAUUGAAACUGUUGGACUUGAGUAUGAGAGAGGUGAGUGGAAUUCCCAGUGUAGAGGUGAAAUUCGUAGAUAUUGGGAAGAACACCGGUGGCGAAGGCGGCUCACUGGCUCAUUACUGACGCUCAGGCGCGACAGCGUGGGGAUCAAACAGG